UACGGAGGGAGCUAGCGUUGUUCGGAUUUACUGGGCGUAAAGGGCGCGCAGGCGGUUCUGUUUGUCGAGUGUGAAAGCCCCGGGCUCAACCUGGGAAUUGCGAUGAAGACUGCAAGGCUUGAAUCUGGCAGAGGGGGGUAGAAUUCCACGUGUAGCAGUGAAAUGCGUAGAGAUGUGGAGGAACACCGAUGGCGAAGGCAGCCCCCUGGGUCAAGAUUGACGCUCAUGCACGAAAGCGUGGGGAGCAAACAGG
rnacentral:rRNA from 1 species